GACGAACGCUGGCGGCGUGCCUAAUACAUGCAAGUUGAGCGCUGAAGGUUGGUACUUGUACCAACUGGAUGAGCAGCGAACGGGUGAGUAACGCGUGGGGAAUCUGCCUUUGAGCGGGGGACAACAUUUGGAAACGAAUGCUAAUACCGCAUAAAAACUUUAAACACAAGUUUUAAGUUUGAAAGAUGCAAUUGCAUCACUCAAAGAUGAUCCCGCGUUGUAUUAGCUAGUUGGUGAGGUAAAGGCUCACCAAGGCGAUGAUACAUAGCCGACCUGAGAGGGUGAGCGGCCACAUUGGGACUGAGACACGGCCAAACCCCCUACGGGAGGCAGCGGUAGGGAAUCUUCGGCAAUGGACGAAAGUCGGCCGGAGCAACGCAGCGGGAGGGAAGAAGUUUUGCGGAUCGUAAAACUUUGUGGUUAGAGAAGACCUAGGGGGAGAGUAAAAGGUAGAGCAGUGACGGUAUCUAACCAGAAAGGGACGGCUAACUACGUG
rnacentral:rRNA from 1 species